ACAGAAGACGAAGAGCUGGAAUAGAGCUCGCCUCGGCUCUGCUGGCCUUGGCUGCAGCUCUUCCAGAAACCCGGGGCGCCCACAGAAGAAUCUCUUACCUGGCUCUCUCUUCAGGGAUGACAUCAUCGGCUCACACCAGUCUUCCAGGACCACCUUCUGGAUGCCAAGGCUGCUGCUCGAGUACCUGCUGUGCACCUCUACCUCCUGAGCCAAGGAGCACGGAUUCCAGGAACCCACUACCAUACAGAGCAACUCCUUGUGGACCCCCCUGGGAUCAGGACAGCGAGGGACAAGCGACAAAGAGGAUCAUCAGUGGCCAGCUAGUUUCUCUGGGGUUCAAACCUUGAACCAGUGCCCUAGUGAGGGGGCACUGGCCAUGGCCCUUGACCUUUGCUCUGCUUGUGUCUUGAGUCUGAGCCCUUUCCUGUACAUCUGUGCUCGUGUUCAUCUGCUAGUGAACUGGAGUGCUGCCCUCCCCGAGGAGGGUCGUCCCUUGUGACUGAUCAUGCUGUCCUAACAAUGUCCUGAGCAAAAGGGUCCCUUUGGGAACCUCUCAGGAGGGGGACCCGGGUCAGGGGCGACCAGCAUCUUGCUGGCAACUCCGUGGGUGGGGUGGGGUGGGGUGCUUCCUUCUGGAAUGAGCACGUGGCUGACCCCCCAAGGCAUGUCCCCUCCCCCUCCUCCACCCACCUUCUCGGAGAUGUCCCUUUUGGGGUAGUGGGGACAUUAGGAGCAACCUCCUAGGGUUGUUGUGAGAAUUAAAUGAACUGCAGCAGCCUGAGGCAGGGCUGGGCAGAGACCUCAGCACAUGUUUGUUGAAAGGUUUGCAGGUGGAUCUAGUCCUCCCGUUCAUGGCUCAUGUGUCUCAACCAUUCUCUCGCAGACUCCUGCAGCCCCUAUGCCCAGGGCUCUCCUUGCGCCAGAGGUAGGUGGGAAAGAGAACUGGGAGAGCCCGGACUCACUCAUGAGAUUGAACUUAAAUUCACACGGAGGACACUUGGACUCUUGCCACAUUAGGUUUAAGGCUUGGCUUGCUGGCCCUGGAGAUCCCGUCGCCGUCUUCGUCGAACUCGAAAUCCUAGCCAUCGUCCUUCCCUGGCCUGUCGCGUCUUCCUGUGCCAUUUGCUGUUGUGCUCAGGUUCCACGAGCUGCCCAUCUCCACAGAAGAGCAGCUGGCAUUGCCCACCGGCCAUGCCGGCUGAAGAAAAGAAGACUGAGGACCCCAGGAUGCCCAGCGCGAGGACCCCAGGAAGCCCAGCGCGAGGACUCCACCCACGACGCCCAGCGCGAGGACUUCACGCACAACACGUUGCAACCCUCCUGGAUUAGGCCAAAGCCAUCAUCUGGAAUCCUGCGUGGGACCCUGGACACACGGACACAGACACCUGCCCCCAGGACCCUCCAACUGUAAAUCCCUCUACAGCCACGGGGACGCCUUGCACAUUUCCUGUGGGACAUGCUGGACCCAAGACUCUGGACCCUGGCCUCCCCUUGAGUAGAGAGACCCACCUACUGACUGAUGAACUGCGCUGACCCUGGGGUCAGGCAUGUGGCCUUGAUCCCUACCCAUGGACCCUGAGACUUGGGGGGGUGGGAGAAAGGCUGUUGUGUCUUCACUGUUGAGUCUACAUCUGUGAAAUGGGCUCAGGUUCCUACCUCACAGGGCUGUUGUGAGGCAGCCGCAAUGUGCUUAGAAGCAUGGGGCCUAGUGGCUCAUGGUGCUUUCAAUAAAUUUCUUGUUUUAACUAAA
rnacentral:lncRNA from 1 species